GGACAAAUGGACCUGCGGUAGGAGAGAGGGACAACAGUAGGAGCAGGCAGAUCUUGCUGUUUCAACCAAAACCUCAUGCUGACCAGAGUUGAGGAACAGAAGAAGAUGGUGAAGGCCUGCAGGUAUAGGUGUUCAGCAUGUCAUCUGAAAUAUUCCCCACAGAGGCAAAAAGAAAGGAAAUUAUCUCUGAAAAGGAAUGGGAGGACAAGUCAGCAGAAUAUGUCAAUGUUUUGGUUGAAGAAGCUGCUUGAAUCUGGGCUUUUCUGUGCCAUGUGUUCUCCCAGGGCCAGCACAAAGAAGGGCUUUUGGUGCAGGCCCAAGACCACCAUAAUCAUCAUUGAUUAUUCCUCUCCACGCCAGUGUCUCUAAAUAAACUUUCUCUUCUUUCUCUGAAAAAAAAAAAAAAAAAAAAA
rnacentral:lncRNA from 1 species